rfam:Nippostrongylus brasiliensis genome assembly, scaffold: NBR_scaffold0006140
GUCUCAGUAGCAUAGUGGUUAGUGCACACCUCCGGAAAGGUUUAGACGCGGGUUCGAAUCCCGCCUGAGAUG